GAUGAAGAACGCAGCGAAAUGCGAUAAGUAGUGUGAAUUGCAGAAUUCAGUGAAUCAUCGAAUCUUUGAACGCACAAUGCGCCCCCUGGUAUUCCGGGGGGCAUGCCUGUCCGAGCGUCAUUGCUGCCCUCAAGCACGGCUUGUGUGUUGGGCCUCCGUCCUCCUCCCGGGGGACGGGCCCGAAAGGCAGCGGCGGCACCGCGUCCGGUCCUCGAGCGUAUGGGGCUUCGUCACCCGCUCUUGUAGGCCCGGCCGGCGCUUGCCGACACAUCAAUCUUUUUUCCAGGUUGACCUCGGAUCAGGUAGGGAUACCCGCUGAACUUAAGCAUAUCAAUAAACGGAGGA
rnacentral:misc_RNA from 1 species